AGAUGUUGAUCGGAAGAACUUGGAAGGGUAGAAAUGAUUGUGAAAAUGUUGAGUAAAUUUCAGGGAUGACAGACAAAUUGCAGGUCCACGGAGAAGUAACCCAUUCAUAUUUCGCUUAAUUUCACUUCCGGCAACACUUUGAGCUCAGUGUGAGGGUAGAGAUUUGGCGGUGUUUGGAUUAGGCCGGAGAAUGAGUGUCAAAUGCUUGUCGGUGUCGGGUAGCCCACCAAAUUCAUCUUCAUAUUUGAACAAAACUAUGCA
rnacentral:misc_RNA from 1 species